CAGAGGUCACUGCUAUCAGUGUUCGACUAAGCCAUGCGAGUCAAAUGUUCUUCGUGAACAUGGCGUACUGCUCAGUAACACGUGGACAACCUGCCMUAAGGUCUGGCAUAACUCCGGGAAACUGGGGAUAAUUCCAGAUAAACCAUGGAUACUGGAAUGUACUGUGGUUAAAAGCUCCGGUGCCUUAGGAUGGAUCUGCGGCCUAUCAGGUAGUAGUGGGUGUAAUGUACCUACUAGCCUACGACGGGUACGGGUUGUGAGAGCAAGAGCCCGGAGAUGGAUUCUGAGACAUGAAUCCAGGCCCUACGGGGCGCAGCAGGCGCGAAAACUUUACAAUGCGGGAAACCGCGAUAAGGGGACACUGAGUGCCAGCACCAUGUGCUGGCUGUCCGCAUGUAUAAAUCACAUGUGUCAGCAAGGGCCGGGCAAGACCGGUGCCAGCCGCCGCGGUAACACCGGCGGCCCGAGUGGUGGCCAUUAUUAUUGGGUCUAAAGGGUCCGUAGCCGGUUUGAUCAGUCUUCCGGGAAAUCUGACAGCUCAACUGUUAGGCUUCUGGGGGAUACUGUCAGACUUGGAACCGGGAGAGGUAAGAGGUACUACAGGGGUAGGAGUGAAAUCUUGUAAUCCUUGUGGGACCACCAGUGGCGAAGGCGUCUUACCAGAACGGGUUCGACGGUGAGGGACGAAAGCUGGGGGCACGAACCGGAUUAGAUACCCGGGUAGUCCCAGCCGUAAACGAUGCUCGCUAGGUGUCUGGGAUGGUGCGACCGUUUCAGGUGCCGCAGGGAAGCCGUGAAGCGAGCCACCUGGGAAGUACGGCCGCAAGGCUGAAACUUAAAGGAAUUGGCSGGGGAGCACUACAACGGGUGGAGCCUGCGGUUUAUUG
rnacentral:rRNA from 1 species